CACCGCUCAAGCCUUUUAUGGUUUGGUGUUGGGAACUGCGAGGCGCACGCCUCGCAGCCCCGAAAUGCAGUGGCGGCCCCCAGCGCGGCUCCUCCUUAGCGCAGUAGAACCUACCGCUACGCUUCGGGACGCCUGGGUGGCCUGCCGUAAAAACGCAGACCCCAAAAGUCGCACCUUCUACA
rnacentral:misc_RNA from 1 species